rnacentral:lncRNA from 1 species
GAACAUUUUAUUUUGUUUUUAUUUUAUUAAAACUGCAUAGACUAAUUCUGAGAAAGUACUUAAGCACUUUCUUUUUUAUAUACAUUUUUGGAUGUUAAUGGGCCUUUAUUUUGUUCAUUUAUUUAUAUGCAGUGCUUAGAUGGAACCUUGUGCCUCAAACAUGCUAAGCAAAUGUUCUACCACUGAGUCACAAUCCCAGCUCCAGCCACAAGCCCAGGUCUUUCAGCUCUUUCUUGAUGUGUAGAAUUUCUUACCCAUGCCUCUACUGUCUUGAUCUAAGUAUUCAUACAUUUACUUCACACUGAUACAAUAAUUUGAUGCACAAACAUAGUACCAUUUACUGCAGCAUAACAGCAUUGUUUAUAACUUAAGUUCAUUUUAAGCAUUCAAGCUAAUUAGAGUCAUAAAACUAUAAGAAUAGUGCCUUUUAAUCCACUAGUAUAUUAACCUAUAUAAGAGAGGUGUCCUUUUUAUACAAAAAAAUCCUGAAGCAGUGCUGAAAAAUAUUUGGACUGAAAGAGGUGGAAAAUAAUAGUUGAGGCCCACUGCUCUUUUAUGUUGUACUAAUAUUAAUGCAGAGACCACUGGGAGCAGCACAGUAGCUGAACUGAAUAAAGA